rnacentral:hammerhead_ribozyme from 1 species
AUACUGAUGAAGAGUCCCAAACUAGGACGAAAUAGCUGUCCAGUAC